GUUUCCGGUWAGUGAACCUGCAGAUGGAUCAUCG
rnacentral:rRNA from 1 species